AUGAGGGACACAGGAAUCGUGCUCAGUGAUGACGUCUGCCAGCUGAUGCUUAUCCGCUACGGUAGCCCUGACCUCCAGAUGGCCUUCGUCAGCUUUGUCCGCUUGAUGCUGCGUGUGGAGGACCUGCAGGUGGCUGACGAUGACUCUGUACUCCUGAGAAGGCUGGACGCUCGUUGGCCCUCACUGAGGACUCUGCAUAUGGCCCAAGGGUGGCCUUUGGUUGAGACCAGCCCAUGCUCAACCCACCUACAGUUCUUCAGGACUGUGUCUCCAGCCAUCACCUUCUCGUCUGGUUUCAUUUGUUCCAUGCCUCUCCAAGACGGGCUCUGGAGAUAGGCUUCCAGUUCAUACCCGACUCAUGCCAGGUACCCACCAGCAUUGGCAGCACCGACCUCUCGAUAUAGAGGAAAACGCUGGGCUGUUUGUACAUUUCUUCAUCCUUCCUCCUGUGCCGCUCUCUCAGAUCUGCACUUUCUCCAGAGCUCCCCACGUAAAGGGAUCUGAAGAUACUGAAUCUGACCUGUUGGCAGAGUGUGUACCUUGCUGAGAAGAGGAUGAAGCGAGCAUUUGGCUUCCUGGUGCUGGCAUACACAUUUUAAUUUUAGGGUCUUCAUCUGCUUUGGUAGAUAAAUCACAAACAUUUCCAUGAAUAAGCACGUCUGUUAUGCAAAUUGUUUUCCGUCUGCUGGUCUGUUGAGAAUAAUGUUCCAUAAUUAAAACAGCUAUUUACUUAUGGGCA
rnacentral:lncRNA from 1 species